rnacentral:rRNA from 1 species
CCUACGGGUGGCUGCAGUGGGGAAUAUUGGGCAAUGGGGGAAACCCUGACCCAGCAACGCCGCGUGAGGGAAGAAGGUUUUCGGAUUGUAAACCUCUGUUCUUGGUGAAGAGAAGAAGACGGUAGCCAAGGAGGAAGCCCCGGCUAACUACGUGCCAGCAGCCGCGGUAAUACGUAGGGGGCGAGCGUUGUCCGGAAUUAUUGGGCGUAAAGGGCGCGUAGGCGGCCCUGCAAGUCAGUAGUGGAAGUCCAUUUUUCAAGGGUGGAAGUGCUAUUGAAACUGCGGGGCUUGAGUAUGGGAGAGGUCAUCGGAAUUCCCGGUGUAGCGGUGAAAUGCGUAGAGAUCGGGAGGAACACCAGUGGCGAAGGCGGGUGACUGGACCAUAACUGACGCUGAGGCGCGAAAGCGUGGGGAGCAAACAGGAUUAGAUACCCCGGUAGUC